rnacentral:rRNA from 1 species
AACGAACGCUGGCGGCAUGCCUAACACAUGCAAGUCGAACGAGACCUUCGGGUCUAGUGGCGCACGGGUGCGUAACGCGUGGGAACCUGCCCUUAGGUUCGGAAUAACUCCCCGAAAGGGGUGCUAAUACCGGAUAAUGUCUUCGGACCAAAGAUUUAUCGCCUUUGGAUGGGCCCGCGUUGGAUUAGCUAGUUGGUAGGGUAAAAGCCUACCAAGGCGACGAUCCAUAGCUGGUCUGAGAGGAUGAUCAGCCACACUGGGACUGAGACACGGCCCAGACUCCUACGGGAGGCAGCAGUGGGGAAUAUUGGGCAAGGGGCGAAAGCCUGAUCCAGCAAUGCCGCGUGAGUGAUGAAGGCCUUAGGGUUGUAAAGCUCUUUUACCCGGGAUGAUAAUGACAGUACCGGGAGAAUAAGCUCCGGCUAACUCCGU